AGCCCUGGAAACGGGGUCUAAUACCGGAUAUGACACGGGAAUGCAUGUUCCUGUGUGUAAAGCUCCGGCGGUGCAGGAUGAGCCCGCGGCCUAUCAACUAGUUGGUGGGGUAGAGGCCUACCAAGGCGACGACGGGUAGCCGGCCUGAGAGGGCGACCGGCCACACUGGGACUGAGACACGGCCCAGACUCCUACGGGAGGCAGCAGUGGGGAAUAUUGCACAAUGGGCGAAAGCCUGAUGCAGCGACGCCGCGUGAGGGAUGACGGCCUUCGGGUUGUAAACCUCUUUCAGCAGGGAAGAAGCUUUCGGGUGACGGUACCUGCAGAAGAAGCACCGGCUAACUACGUGCCAGCAGCCGCGGUAAUACGUAGGGUGCGAGCGUUGUCCGGAAUUAUUGGGCGUAAAGAGCUCGUAGGCGGCUUGUCACGUCGGUUGUGAAAGCCCGGGGCUUAACCCCGGGUCUGCAGUCGAUACGGGCAGGCUAGAGUUCGGUAGGGGAGAUCGGAAUUCCUGGUG
rnacentral:rRNA from 1 species